AAUGGGAGCUUGCUCCCAUUUCUCAGCGGCGGACGGGUGAGUAACACGUGGGCAACCUGCCCUACAGACUGGGAUAACUCCGGGAAACCGGAGCUAAUACCGGGUAAUACAUAGCAUCGCAUGAUGCAACGUUGAAAGUUGGCCUUUGGCUAACACUGUAGGAUGGGCCCGCGGCGCAUUAGCUAGUUGGUAAGGUAACGGCUUACCAAGGCCACGAUGCGUAGCCGACCUGAGAGGGUGAUCGGCCACACUGGGACUGAGACACGGCCCAGACUCCUACGGGAGGCAGCAGUAGGGAAUCUUCCGCAAUGGACGAAAGUCUGACGGAGCAACGCCGCGUGAGUGACGAAGGCCUUCGGGUCGUAAAGCUCUGUUGUUAGGGAAGAACAAGUACCGUUCGAAUAGGGCGGUACCUUGACGGUACCUAACCAGAAAGCCACGGCUAACUACGUGCCAGCAGCCGCGGUAAUACGUAGGUGGCAAGCGUUGUCCGGAAUUAUUGGGCGUAAAGCGCGCGCAGGCGGUCUCUUAAGUCUGA
rnacentral:rRNA from 1 species